AGUGAACGCUGGCGGUAGGCCUAACACAUGCAAGUCGAACGGCAGCACAGAGGAGCUUGCUCCUUGGGUGGCGAGUGGCGGACGGGUGAGGAAUACAUCGGAAUCUACUCUGUCGUGGGGGAUAACGUAGGGAAACUUACGCUAAUACCGCAUACGACCUACGGGUGAAAGCAGGGGAUCUUCGGACCUUGCGCGAUUGAAUGAGCCGAUGUCGGAUUAGCUAGUUGGCGGGGUAAAGGCCCACCAAGGCGACGAUCCGUAGCUGGUCUGAGAGGAUGAUCAGCCACACUGGAACUGAGACACGGUCCAGACUCCUACGGGAGGCAGCAGUGGGGAAUAUUGGACAAUGGGCGCAAGCCUGAUCCGGCCAUACCGCGUGGGUGAAGAAGGCCUUCGGGUUGUAAAGCCCUUUUGUUGGGAAAGAAAUCCAUCUGGUUAAUACCCGGGUGGGAAGACGGUACCCAAAGAAUAAGCACCGGCUAACUUCGUGCCAGCCGCCGCGGUAA
rnacentral:rRNA from 1 species